UCUCGACCGUUCCCGGUACUACAUACAGUUGAUUCGAUAUUAUCUCAUUCAGACAUUGUGUCGUCGUAUUGCUACUAGUGUAAACAAUUUUUUUUCCUCGAAACUAAAUUUGAAAUAAGAAUGAAGUUUAAAAUAUUUGUUACGUUCUUAUUAGCCAGUGUGAUCGCUGUGAAUUGUGAACAUUUAAUAUUAGGAGACGUAAAUAAUAGAAAAUUGAUAUAUCACACAACAGCGCAAUACAGCGCGUAUCCAUUCUUAGUAAGAGUGAAAAACGUUUUUUAUUCAAGUCCGGAACAAGAAAUUAUAAAUAGUAUCCUGGUAUAUGACAACAUGUACUCUAAAGCGACUGCAUCGAUAACUGCAGGUGGUAUUGGCUACACCUACGUCAAUCUCAGUUUGAAGAGCGAGCGUGGGAGAGGACUUGACUAUGACAUAGGUCUAUAUUCCUAAAUUGUGUGUUAUUUAUUUAAAUAUAUUAGAUUUUGUAUUUUUAACUUCUUGUUUAUAAAAUGCAUUUGAAACGA